ensembl:lncRNA
CCCAGUCGUCCUCGGGUUGUUUAUCGGGAAAGUAGUCGCUAAACCGCUCGAAAAGUUUAUUCAGAUGCGUGCUUUUGGACUCCUUUGUCUUCGAUAAAAAGGCUCGCGACCCACCAAAAACGGCCCCGCGACCCACUUUUGGGUCGCGACCCACCAGUUGAGAAACACUGCUCUAAGCAGUAAGAGGCUCCACCUGGAGGUACAACCAGCUUGGUGGCCACAAUGACAUCAGUUAUGUUUGCAGCGUCAUCGCCUACAAUCCAGUUUCAAAACAAUGGCACAUGUCGGCUCCCAUGUUUAGCCCUCGCAUCAACUUUGGCGUCGCCGUAUUGGAGGAUCACCUCUCCGUGGUCGGAGGCUUCGAAAGUGACAACAAAGCCUGUAACGUGCAGCGAUAUGACGGAAAGACCAACAGGUGGGAGACCGUCCAGGACAUGCAGAUCCCCAACAGCCACGUGAACUGCCGUGUGGUGGAGCGAUACCCCAACAAUACUGCUUAAAAUGAAGUUCCAAUCAACUGGCAAAUAAAG